rnacentral:rRNA from 1 species
AAUAUUGGACAAUGGGCGCAAGCCUGAUCCAGCCACGCCGCGUGUGUGAAGAAGGUCCUCGGAUUGUUAAGCACUUUAAUUGGGGAGGAAGGGCAGUUAACGAUUACUUAACUGUUUUUACGUUACCACAAGAAUAAGCACCGGCUAACUUCGUGCCAGCCGCCGCGGUAAUACGAACGGUGCAAGCGUUAAUCGGAAUUACUGGGCGUAAAGCGCGCGUAGGUUGUUCGUUAAAUUGGAAGAGAAAGCCCCGGGCUCAACCUGGGAAUUGCUUUCAAAACUGGCGAGCUAGAGUUCGGUAGAGGGUGGUGGAAUUUCCUGUGUAGCGGUGAAAUGCGUAGAUAUAGGAAGGAACAUCAGUGGCGAAGGCGACCACCUGGACUGAUACCGACACUGAGGUGCGAAAGCGUGGGGAGCAAACAG